GCGAGAGAAAAGAAAAUAAAAAUAGCCCAUCCAGCAGCACGACCUUCCUGCAAUCCUGCAACGCGCCGCCGCCUCCUGCCCGCCCCGCCUCACGGCGCGCCGCCGGCCACCCCCUCCGCCGAGCGCCGCCACCGCCUACCCGCCUCCCAUCUUGAUCCCCGAGCGCCCGACCCGGCCAUCGUUCGUCGCCAGCACCUACGGAUCUGGCUGACCCUCGCCUUCCCCGUCUACUGCACCUCCCAGCGCCGCCACCCCACCCCUGCCAUGCUCUGCCUCCUGGAUCCACAUCCCCACGACCAGAACGGGUCCUCCUCGAGGAGCCGCGCAUCCUCUGCCUGCUCCAACGCUGCACACAUCCUCUGCUUGGUUGACUCCCACCGCCUAUGAUCGUCCCUGCCGUCUGAUCAGGAACAUGCAGGUUUGUAUUGUUUCCAGUGUAUGUUGGUCAUGCAUCGGAUGUCACUCGGUUUCUAGGAAUUUCAAGAUGGCAUCAAAGAAACCAACGAACAAGGAGAGAAAACUUAAACAAGAGAGAUGUAUGAGGAUGUCGGUGUCUCAUCAAACAUGUAUUGUGUGAGGACACCCUUCGUCCGACCUAAUCUUGACGAUCAUCCGCAGAGCAGCACUUCAAAACUCCCAGGUUGUUUUCAUCAGCAAGCUUAUAGAUGACCACAUGGUGGAACUCAAUAAUACAACGCUGUACGAUGCACCUGAGAUUCCAAUGGAUACCUGUCGAAGCGAUGUGGUCAUCAGCAUGUCUAUAAUAUGUGUGCUCUGUCGGUUCCCUGCAAGCUCUUUCAGCCAUGACCUCAAGUUCUGCAGCUAGGCUGUGAAUGUGUUGGUCCUUCUCACCGUCCACCGAUGAUGGUGCCCAAGAUAAGUGAUGGAAGGAGAAAAGGAUGUUGCUGUCGCGCGGUCGUCGGAACGACUUGCCGUGGACGUGGCCAUGCACUGGAUGCCAUCGACGACUAGCUUCCGCAAAAUAUGAAUGGAUGGGAUUCUGCUACAAACAUUGGGGAGCAUGUACUGUUGCGGUGCUGUGACAUAUACACUCCAUGGAAGAAACCCCUGUUUGAUUUACAGGUGAUGCUGAUUCAUUUGGAAUCUACUUUUGACAGAUCAAUCUGGUUUGUUGGCUUCUGUGUGGCUUCAUGUGACGCUCCAGUGCACUAGGGAGAGGUACAGGUCCCCAGAACUACAUGUAUGUACCGAAUUGUUUCAUCUGUCGAGUUUGACAUUCAAUAUUGACUCCUUGAUCCUGUUUCUUAGGGUUCAUGAUUGCCAAUUGGUCGUGGGCAAUGAACUAAAAUGUCUAUUAAAUGUUCAUGGAUAUCUUAAAAGGAGAACAGUUCAGACUUUAGAUGUACAUUAUAUUUGAUGCAUUAGUCUAAUCUGUACUUCAAAUUACAGUGUAUGAUUUGUUUGGACACUACAUAUAUAUUUGAUGGAGCCG
rnacentral:rRNA from 1 species